rnacentral:rRNA from 1 species
UGCCAGCAGCCGCGGUAAGACGAAGGUGGCAACCGUUGUUCGGAAUUACUGGGCAUAAAGAGCACGUAGGCGGACUACUAAGUCGGGUGUGAAAUCCCUCGGCCCAACCGAGGAACUGCGCCCGAUACUGGUAGUCUUGAGGACAGGAGGGGAGCGUGGAAUUCCUGGUGGAGCGGUGAAAUGCGUUGAUAUCAGGAGGAACACCGGCGGCGAAGGCGACGCUCUGGCCUGUUUCUGACGCUGAGGUGCGAAAGCUAGGGGAGCGAACGGGAUUAGAUA